UACGCCACGGGUGCGGCCCUAAAAAAAAAAAAAAGAGAGAGAAAAGAAAAGAAAAAGCUUAAAAAAAAAAAAGCCAUUCAUUUACCAAACCUGGGCUUUUUUUCCUCUGUUGCCAUAGGUGUGAGCAAAGGGCCAGGUAUUACUGUAAUGGCCUGGAAAUCUAGACCAUCUGUGCAGUUUGCUCAUGCCUUGAACCUUCUUGGCCCAGUCCUGAGUGUAGCAUUUUUAUUUGAUUAUGGAUUAAUGAGGGGCCUGCCUGACCUUAUGAUUUAGUGAUUCUGACAAGAUUCAGCUCAUGGUAGAUGACUUAGUCUGUACAAGGGCCUAGUCGUACGCUGGGACCUGCUUUUCAAAGACUGAAUAGUUCUUCACUGCUUUGAUCCAGAAGCCUAGAAAUUUCUGCACUGCAACUGUCUGAUUUGGGGCUUGUGAGCUUCUUUACCAACGACUGCCGCUUGCACUGUGGAUCUUUUGGGACAUGUAGACCAAGGGGACAGACACGUUCUGUGCUAUAGUCUGAAGCACAAAGGGCUACACCCUCUCUGACUGUGUGCACUCAAAACUGGCAGCCUUCUGAAUGACCCAACAAAUGGUCAGAGAUGUAUUCCUGAGUGCGGGUCAUGCUGGCUUCAGGAUCCAAAGACCGUUUUGUGCUGUGCCUUUCCUAGUGAUAGAAGCUUCAAGACAAAGUUGCUAGCUGUUGACUUGGCAAGGAGCCCCAGCCUCCCCUAGAUCCCUGGACCUCCAGAAGCUUUAGCACUCCGUUACGCUUCUGAAUCUUGGCAGGAUUCAUCCCCUCCUCUCUGAUGUGUCUCUUAAGAAGCAUCCAAAUGUUUGCCGGUUUCUGUUCUCCAAGGUCCAGUUGACAUUUUGUCAUCAGUGUGGUGGGCCAGCAUGAUUUUCUGCAGAAUGUCAAGGUGACCAAGGAUCUUCACGCUGCAUUGUGGCAGAACAGGAGGGUCACCUACUCCUGGGGUAAAACCGAAUGUGUACUAUUAUCUGACCCGAGUGAGUGCGAACUUUUUUUGAUUCUCUUUUUUUGGUGGGGAUUGGAAAGAACUCAUUAACCAGAUCUACAGCCUCAUACCAAGUGCUGGCGGUUGUGCGGAGUUGUUCUAGUAGAAGUACCACAUCCAGCAGAGCAGCUGAUCUUUGGAGCUUCCUUCUUGCUCUGUGUUAGUCCUCUGUCAGCUUCUGUUUUUCAUUUGUUUUUUCAUUUUGUUUUGGUGGGUUUUGGUUGUGGUUGUGGCUUGCAGAAAGCAUACAGUGGCAGGAGUUCCUUUCAUGGCCCAGCAGUAACAAACCCAGUCAGGAUCCAUGAGCAUACAGGUUUGAUCCCUGGUCUCGCUCAGUGGGUUAAGGAUCCAGUGUUGCUGUGAGCUGUGGUGUAGGUCACAGACAUGGCUUGGAUCUCGUGUUGCUGUGGCUGCGGUAUAGGCCGGUAGCUGUAGCUCCGAUUUGACCCCUAGCCUGGGAACUUUCAUGUGCCUCAGGUGUGGCCCUAAAAAGCAAAAAAAAAAAA
rnacentral:lncRNA from 1 species